rnacentral:rRNA from 1 species
CCUACGGGUGGCAGCAGUGGGGGAUAUUGCACAAUGGAGGAAACUCUGAUGCAGCGACGCCGCGUGAGGGAAGACGGUCUUCGGAUUGUAAACCUCUGUCUUUGGGGAAGAAAAUGACGGUACCCAAAGAGGAAGCUACGGCUAACUACGGGCCAGCAGCCGCGGGAAGACGGAGGGAGCGAGCGUGGUCCGGAAGUACUGGGUGAAAAGGGAGCGGAGGCGGGCGAGAAAGUUGAAUGUGAAAUCUACCGGCUUAACUGGUACCUGCGUUCCAAACUUCUUGUCUUGAGUGAAGUAGAGGCAGGCGGAAUUCCUAGUGUAGCGGUGAAAUGCGUAGAUAUUAGGCGGAACACCAGUGGCGAAGGCGGCCUUCUGGGCUUUACCUGACGCUGAGGCUCGAAAGCGUGGGGAGCAAACAGGAUUAGAUACCCGAGUAGUC